rnacentral:rRNA from 1 species
AUUGCCCUAGUAACGGCGAGUGAAGCGGCAACAGCUCAAAUUUGAAAUCUGGCCUAGGCCCGAGUUGUAAUUUGCAGAGGAUGCUUCUGGCGAGGUACCUACCGAGUUCCCUGGAACGGGACGCCACAGAGGGUGAGAGCCCCGUAUGGUAGGACACCGAGCCUGUGUGAAGCUCCUUCAACGAGUCGAGUAGUUUGGGAAUGCUGCUCUAAAUGGGAGGUAAAUCUCUUCUAAAGCUAAAUACCGGCCAGAGACCGAUAGCGCACAAGUAGAGUGAUCGAAAGAUGAAAAGCACCUUGAAAAGGGGGUUAAAUAGUACGUGAAAUUGUUGAAAGGGAAGCACUUAUGACCAGACUUGGGCCGGGCGGCUCAUCAGGGGUUCUCCCCUGUGCACUCCGCCCGGCACAGGCCAGCAUCGGUUCUCGUGGGGGGAUAAGACCGUCAGGAACGUAGCACCCUCCGGGGUGUGUUAUAGCCUGGCGGACGAUACCCCCGUGGGGACCGAGGUCCGCGCUCCGCAAGGAUGCUGGCGUAAUGGUCAUCAGUGACCCGUCUUGAAACACGGACCAAGGAGUCGUCCAUUAGAGCGAGCGUUUGGGUGUAAAACCCGCACGCGUAAUGAAAGUGAACGCAGGUGAGAGCUUCGGCGCAUCAUCGACCGAUCCUGAUGUUCUCGGAAGGAUUUGAGUAAGAGUUUUAACGGACGGACCCGAAAGACAGUGAACUAUGCUUGUAUAGGGUGAAGCCAGAGGAAACUCUGGUGGAGGCUCGCAGCGGUUCUGACGUGCAAAUCGAUCGUCAAAUAUGAGCAUGGGGGCGAAAGACUAAUCGAAC